UACGGGGGGGGCAAGCGUUGUUCGGAAUUACUGGGCGUAAAGGGCUCGUAGGCGGCCAACUAAGUCGGACGUGAAAUCCCUCGGCUCAACCGGGGAACUGCGUCCGAUACUGGAUGGCUUGAGUUCGGGAGAGGGAUGCGGAAUUCCAGGUGUAGCGGUGAAAUGCGUAGAUAUCUGGAGGAACACCGGUGGCGAAGGCGGCAUCCUGGACCGACACUGACGCUGAAGAGCGAAAGCCAGGGGAGCAAACGGG
rnacentral:rRNA from 1 species